UCUAGCGGCGGACGGGUGAGUAAUGUAUAGGGAGCUGCCCGACAGAGGGGGAUACCAGUUGGAAACGACUGUUAAUACCGCAUAACGUCUACGGACCAAAGUAUGGGACCUUCGGGCCAUAUGCUGUCGGAUGCACCUAUAUGGGAUUAGCUAGUUGGUGGGGUAACGGCUCACCAAGGCGACGAUCCCUAGCUGGUUUGAGAGGAUGAUCAGCCACACUGGAACUGAGACACGGUCCAGACUCCUACGGGAGGCAGCAGUGGGGAAUAUUGGACAAUGGGCGCAAGCCUGAUCCAGCCAUGCCGCGUGUGUGAAGAAGGCCUUAGGGUUGUAAAGCACUUUCAGCGAGGAGGAAGGGGUUGUUGUUAAUAGCAACAAUCUUUGACGUUACUCGCAGAAGAAGCACCGGCUAACUCCGUGCCAGCGGCCGCGGUAAUACGGAGGGUGCAAGCGUUAAUCGGAAUUACUGGGCGUAAAGCGCACGUAGGCGGUUUGUUAAGUUGGAUGUGAAAGCCCCGGGCUCAACCUGGGAAUUGCAUUCAAGACUGGCAAGCUAGAGUAUGUGAGAGGGGGGUAGAAUUCCAAGUGUAGCGGUGAAAUGCGUAGAGAUUUGGAGGAAUACCAGUGGCGAAGGCGGCCCCCUGGCACAAUACUGACGCUCAGGUGCGAAAGCGUGGGGAGCAAACAGGAUUAGAUACCCUGGUAGUCCACGCCGUAAACGAUGUCUACUAGCUGUUCGUGGUCUUGUACUGUGAGUAGCGCAGCUAACGCACU
rnacentral:rRNA from 1 species